rnacentral:misc_RNA from 1 species
GAUGAAGAACGUAGCGAAAUGCGAUAAGUAAUGUGAAUUGCAGAAUUCAGUGAAUCAUCGAAUCUUUGAACGCACAUUGCGCCCCCUGGUAUUCCGGGGGGCAUGCCUGUCCGAGCGUCAUUACAACCCUCAAGCUCAGCUUGGUGUUGGGCCCCGCCGCCCCGGCGGGCCCUAAAGUCAGUGGCGGUGCCGUCCGGCUCCGAGCGUAGUAAUUCUUCUCGCUCUGGAGGUCCGGUCGUGUGCUCGCCAGCAACCCCCAAUUUUUUUCAGGUUGACCUCGGAUCAGGUAGGUAUACCCGCUGAACUUAAGCAUAUCAAUAAGCGGAGGA